rnacentral:rRNA from 1 species
GAUGAACGCUGGCGGCGUGCCUAAUACAUGCAAGUCGAGCGAACAGACGAGGAGCUUGCUCCUCUGACGUUAGCGGCGGACGGGGGAGUAACACGUGGAUAACCUACCUAUAAGACUGGGAUAACUUCGGGAAACCGGAGCUAAUACCGGAUAAUAUAUUGAACCGCAUGGUUCAAUAGUGAAAGACGGUUUUGCUGUCACUUAUAGAUGGAUCCGCGCCGCAUUAGCUAGUUGGUAAGGUAACGGCUUACCAAGGCAACGAUGCGUAGCCGACCUGAGAGGGUGAUCGGCCACACUGGAACUGAGACACGGUCCAGACUCCUACGGGAGGCAGCAGUAGGGAAUCUUCCACAAUGGGCGCAAGCCUGACGGAGCAACGCCGCGUGAGUGAUGAAGGUCUUCGGAUCGUAAAACUCUGUUAUUAGGGAAGAACAAAUGUGUAAGUAACUAUGCACGUCUUGACGGUACCUAAUCAGAAAGCCACGGCUAACUACGUG